rnacentral:rRNA from 1 species
AGAGUUUGAUCCUGGCUCAGAGCGAACGCUGGCGGCGUGCUUAACACAUGCAAGUCGAGUGCGCGUUCCGGUGUAGCAAUACACCGGAAUGGCGCACGGCGCACGGGUGCGUAACACGUGGGUAACCUGCCCUCGGAUGGGGAAUAACCCCGCGAAAGCGGGGCUAAUACCGCAUAACGUUCCGGGGACUUCGGUCUCCGGAACCAAAGCUCGCAAGGGCGUCGGAGGAGGGGCCCGCGGCCGAUUAGCUAGUUGGCAGGGUAACGGCCUACCAAGGCGAUGAUCGGUAGCCGGUCUGAGAGGAUGGCCGGCCACACUGGAACUGAGACACGGUCCAGACUCCUACGGGAGGCAGCAGUGGGGAAUCUUGCGCAAUGGGCGAAAGCCUGACGCAGCGACGCCGCGUGGGGGAUGUAGCCCUUCGGGGUGUAAACCCCUUUCGGCCCGGACGAAUCCCGCGUAAGCGGGCUGACGGUACGGGUAGAAGAAGCCCCGGCUAACUACGUGCCAGCAGCCGCGGUAAGACGUAGGGGGCCAGCGUUGCUCGGAAUGACUGGGCGUAAAGGGUCCGUAGGCGGUGCGGCAAGUCGGAAGUGAAAUCUCCGGGCUUAACUCGGAGGCUGCUUCCGAAACUGCCGUGCUGGAGUGCGGGAGAGGCGAGUGGAAUUGCAGGUGUAGCGGUGAAAUGCGUAGAUAUCUGCAGGAACACCAGAGGCGAAGGCGGCUCGCUGGACCGCAACUGACGCUGAGGGACGAAAGCUAGGGGAGCAAACAGGAUUAGAUACCCUGGUAGUCCUAGCCCUAAACCAUCAGGACUUGGCGUGGGUCCCGUCCGGGAUCCGUGCCGCAGCUAACGCGAUAAGUCCUGCGCCUGGGGAGUACGGUCGCAAGGNUGAAAACUCAAAUGAAUUGACGGG